ensembl:lncRNA novel transcript
GCUUUGGGACGUGGGAAGCUGGUGAGAAGGCAUCACUCUGUCCACAGUUAGAUUUGGGAGGAGGCCUGACUGAGGAGAGGGAUCCAGGCUCACACCACCCUGUCCUGUGUUCUGUCUGCAGACAGAGGAGCUGAACCGCGAGGUGGCUACCAACAGUGAGCUGGUCCAGAGCGGCAAGAGCGAGAUUUCGGAGCUCCGGUGCACCAUGCAGGCCUUGGAGAUCGAGCUGCAGUCCCAGCUCAGCAUGAAAGCAUCCCUGGAGGGCAACCUGGCGGAGACAGAGAACCGCUACUGCAUGCAGCUGUCCCAGAUCCAGGGACUGAUCGGCAGUGUGGAGGAGCGGCUGGCCCAGCUUCUCUGCGAGAUGGAGCAGCAGAACCAGGAGUACAAGAUCCUCCUGGACAUGAAGAUGCGGCUGGAGCUGGAGAUCACCACCUACCACCGCCUGCUGGAGGGCGAGGAUGCCCACCUGACUCAGUACAAGAAAGAACAUAAGCAUCUUGGUGGCUGAGGCCUUGGGGAUUGGGUGCAUGGGACAGGCAGCCCACCUGCACGUUGCUGGAGCUGGGUCCCCAGGAGUUCUAGGAGUUGAUGGCUGUCCCUCAGCAGGGGUGGGAGAAGUGACCCGUUAGCACUGAGGAUUGAUACUCAGGAAAAGAUCAAAUGAGAGAGAUGCUGUCUGGUCUGAUGGGGUGGGCCAGGGAACUGGUCCUUACCUUGGAGAUCCUAGUCUGAUGGAGGAGACAGGUCCCACCUCUGGAGAUUGUCAUCUGAUGGGAAGAUAGGAACAUGGUCUCAUGAUCUAUGCUCU